CCCACUUCAUCCCGUCACCUCUUUAUACCAGCUAUUCCCUCUAUCUUUCAGUCCAGAUGAAGGGUCUUGACCUGAAAUGAUGACUGUCCAUUUCCCUCCAUGGGUGCUGCCUGACCCGCUGAGUUUCUCCGGCAUCUUGUUUUUUUGCUCCAGAUUCCAGCAUCUGCAGUCUCUUGUGUCUCUAACCCACCAACCCACACACCUCUUGGGUGUGGAAGGAAAUGGAGCACAUGGAGGAAACCCAUGCCUCACAAGGAGAACGUGCAAACUCUGCACAGACGGCACCCGAGGUCGGGAUAGAAACCUGGCGAAGUGACAGGAAACAGAAAGUAGUAGUGGAAAGCUGUGUCUCGGAUUGGAUGGAAGAAAUCAGUGGCGAUCUCCACGGCUGGGUAUCAGGACCACUGCUUGGACAGGGCACAGUCACAAGAUCUGCAGAUGACUCAAAACUUAGAAGCAGAGGAUGUGGGCAUCACUGGCAAGGCUAGCAUUUUUCACCCAUCCCUAAGUAGAAGGUGGCAGCGAGCAGCCUUCCUGAACCUCCGUCGUUCGUGUGGGCACUCCCAGAGGGCAGCUGUGGAGUUCCAGGAUUCAGACCCAGCAACAGUCAAGGAGAAGUGACAGCCAUUCAAGUCAGGAUGUGAGAGGUUCCCCUGUGCCUGCUGUGACGUCAGGGGUUUGGGAGGUGCUGUAGCACCAGCCAAUAUGUUGAGUGUUUCCAACUUAUCCCAGCACAUGGGGAGACAGACAGAUGCCGACAUUUCCAGCAACACCCAAACCCCUGCAGAGAAAUCUGUCCUGGCAACUAUGCUGAGGGAGUGCUGCACUGUCAGAAGGCCGAUUCCAGAUGUGGAGCUAAACUGAGGCCUCAGUAACCCUCUCCAUUUUGUGUGAUGUUGGGGAGUUCUCCCAGAGGUUGUGGGGCCAAUAUCACACUGCCGUUGACAAGAUCUCACUGUGCACAAAAUUAGCUGUCCUGUUCCCCACAUUACAAAACCUAGCAAAUUUGAAUAAGUAUUUCAGUGGCUGAAAGGGCCACAGAAAUGUGAAUCUUUCUGUUCCUCUCAGAUCCUUGUUCCUUACCAUUCAUUCUCCAGACGUGGCCAUCAGUGGCAAUGCCAGCAUUGUUUGAAUUGCUUCUGAGUGGGGAGGCAGCCACAACUGAACCACAUGGGUGGGUCUGGAGUCACAUAUAUUCCAGACUGGGCAGAUUUUCUUCUCUAAAGGAUGCGAGUGAACCAGAUGCGUUUGGGCAUUUUAAUGGUUACCAUUAAGAUUUUAUUUAGAUUGAUUUAAUUACUUGGUUAAAUUCCACAGCUGCUGCGGUGGGAUUUGAUCUCCUGCCUCUGGAUCAGUGGUCUAGAAGUCUGGUUGCUAGUCCAGUAACUUAACCCCUACACCACUAUUUGCUCCUCAGUAAUUGUCUGCAGCAGGCUAAUGGCACCCACCAACUCUGGCAGCAGGGAGGAGGAACAAGGCUGAUAUUCUCUCUGUAGCGCCCCAGUCUCCCCACCCACAGAGCUGCGUGACAGAUUUCCUAAACAACC